AGAACUUGUCGUAUACACCCGAACAAAAUUUUGAAAGCCGAAGGUUCUCUGCAGAGCCAUGUGCCUUUUCAGGAAAACAAUGAUGCACCGCUUACAACAAGUGCACUUCACUGAAUCGCUUAAUUUCCAUCAGGCUAAUUUUGCUGCUUCAUAAUCUCAGCGUUUGAAAAUAUCAAAAACAUCUCUUUUUCCACAGUUAUUCCUGCACACUGGUCUCAUACAUAUCACGCUAUGUGAGAGGUCAUUGUAAGGAAAAGAAUCCAUUAGAUACUUUGAAUGCACUUUGCUUAUUUCACGUUUGUAAUUUCAGAAGUUAAAUGGAAGCAUUGGUAAAAACAACAGUAAUUAUUCACUUCAGCGGAUGGUUGAGGAAAAUCGGGAACCCAGGGAGCCAGCACCUUGCAAUGGUGUGGUUUAAUGUAAAGGUAAAUUGAGGCAAAGGCUUCACUGCUUAAAUAACAAAUUAUAAGCCUCAACCCAGGGAAAGUAGUGUUAAUAGGAUAAGCAUACCCCAUUCAAGCUCUUUCCACCAUUACUCGCGUUAAGAAAUUCAUUUAAGGCGGGGGGAGGGGCAAACACAACACAGAGCUAAGUAAAGCAAAAAGUUCGAGAAACAAACCUAUUCCAGGCUGCCUAUAAUCUGAAGGUUCUAUUAUAACUCACUCAGAUGACCUGAUUCUAUCCAGUGUUAAAUCCUUUGUUUUUGAAAACGCAAACCUUCAUGACUUGCGCCUGGGAGGGGAUGCUGGGAAUGUCCAAUCAGAGAGGCUCAAGUCUCACGCGGCUCUGAGUCAGCCAAUGAGGGACCCGCAGCACUGAGCCACCCUCAUUGGCCUGAUGUGCAGUCAAACAUUCCCCACCGAACCAAUCGGAGUCCUCCUGGAAUCUUCAGCCUUGGUGACAGACAGGGUAAAGAGUGUGAUUAUUUGCCUGCUGUUUGUUUCUCUGCUUGAUUGGUUUUCUGCUUUUCAUCAAGGUUACUUAAGAUACGUCAAUGUUUUAGAGCAGUUAUACAAAAAUGCUAGAAGUUGCGUUCUUAAACUACGUAUAUUUGUUUCUCACACUCCUGGAGGCUCGAAGUCCAAAUCGAGACGUCAGCAGGGUUGGUUCUUCUGAGUGGUUCGAACGAAGGAUCUGUUCCAGGCCUCUCUCCUUCCUUGU
rnacentral:lncRNA from 1 species